rnacentral:rRNA from 1 species
AUUGAACGCUGGCGGCAUGCCUUACACAUGCAAGUCGAACGGUAACGGGCCUUCGGGUGCCGACGAGUGGCGAACGGGUGAGUAAUGCAUCGGAACGUACCUUUCAGUGGGGGAUAACGUAGCGAAAGUUACGCUAAUACCGCAUAUUCGGUGAGCAAGAAAGCAGGGGAUCGCAAGACCUUGCGCUGAUUGAGCGGCCGAUGUUAGAUUAGCUAGGUGGUGAGGUAAAGGCUCACCAAGGCGACGAUCUGUAGCGGGUCUGAGAAGAUGAUCCGCCACACUGGGACUGAGACACGGCCCAGACUCCUACGGGAGGCAGCAGUGGGGAAUUUUGGAUAAUGGGGGCAACCCUGAUCUAGCCAUGCCGCGUGAGUGAAGAAGGCCUUCGGGUUGUAAAGCUCUUUCGGCCGGGAAGAAAUCGCACGGGCUAAUACCCUGUGUGGAUGACGGUACCGGAAUAAGAAGCACCGGCUAACUACGUGCCAGCCGCCGCGGUAACAC